rnacentral:rRNA from 1 species
GAUGAACGCUAGCGGCAGGCUUAAUACAUGCAAGUCAAGGGGGUAGCAAUACAACUGGCGCACGGGUGAGUAACGCGUACACAACAUACCAUAUACUGGAGUAUAGCUUUGGGAAACUGAAGGUAAUCCUCCAUAACAUUGCGAGAGGGCAUCUGAUUGCAAUUAAAGUUCCGGCGGUAUAUGAUUGGUGUGCGUUUGAUUAGCUAGUUGGUAGGGUAACGGCCUACCAAGGCGACGAUCAAUAGCUGGCGUGAGAGCGCGACCAGCCACACUGGAACUGAGACACGGUCCAGACUCCUACGGGAGGCAGCAGUAGGGAAUAUUGGACAAUGGGCGAAAGCCUGAUCCAGCCAUGCCGCGUGAUAGAUGAAGGCCCUCUGGGUUGUAAAUAUCUUUUAUCUGGGAAGAAACUCCUCUAUUCUUAGAGGCCUGACGGUACCGGAGGAAUAAGCACCGGCUAACUCCGUGCCAGCAGCCGCGGUAAAG